rnacentral:rRNA from 1 species
UGAUUGCAGAAUUCCGCGAAUCAUCGAGUCUUUGAACGCAAGUUGCGCCCGAGGCUUGCCCUCUGGCAUUUCUGCUAGAGCGUCACC